AACGAACGCUGGCGGCAGGCCUAACGCAUGCAAGUCGAGCGCGCCUUCGGGUGAGCGGCGGACGGGUGAGUAACACGUGGGAAUAUGCCUUUCGGUGCGGAAUAGUCUUGGGAAACUGAGGGUAAUACCGCAUACGCCCCCUGGGGGAAAGAUUUAUCGCCGAAAGAUUAGCCCGCGUUGGAUUAGGUAGUUGGUGGGGUAAUGGCCUACCAAGCCGACGAUCCAUAGCUGGUUUGAGAGGAUGAUCAGCCACACUGGGACUGAGACACGGCCCAGACUCCUACGGGAGGCAGCAGUGGGGAAUCUUAGACAAUGGGGGCAACCCUGAUCUAGCCAUGCCGCGUGAGUGAUGAAGGCCUUAGGGUUGUAAAGCUCUUUCAGCUGGGAAGAUAAUGACGGUACCAGCAGAAGAAGCCCCGGCUAACUCCGUGCCAGCCGCCGCCGCUG
rnacentral:rRNA from 1 species